rnacentral:rRNA from 1 species
CCAGAGAACUUAGCAGAGAUGCUUUGGUGCCUUCGGGAACUCUGAGACAGGUGCUGCAUGGCUGUCGUCAGCUCGUGUUGUGAAAUGUUGGGUUAAGUCCCGCAACGAGCGCAACCCUUAUCCUUUGUUGCCAGCGAUUCGGUCGGGAACUCAAAGGAGACUGCCGGUGAUAAACCGGAGGAAGGUGGGGAUGACGUCAAGUCAUCAUGGCCCUUACGGCCAGGGCUACACACGUGCUACAAUGGCGCAUACAAAGAGAAGCGACCUCGCGAGAGCAAGCGGACCUCAUAAAGUGCGUCGUAGUCCGGAUUGGAGUCUGCAACUCGACUCCAUGAAGUCGGAAUCGCUAGUAAUCGUAGAUCAGAAUGCUACGGUGAAUACGUUCCCGGGCCUUGUACACACCGCCCGUCACACCAUGGGAGUGGGUUGCAAAAGAAGUAGGUAGCUUAACCUUCGGGAGGGCGCUUACCACUUUGUGAUUCAUGACUGGGGUGAAGUCGUAACAAGGUAAGCGUAGAUGA